AGCUGAAGUUUAUAUUUCUUUACUAUUAAAAGUGCUAAAAAAUACAUCCAUAUAGCGUUUGUUGUGCUUAAAUACAAGGUGCAAAUUCUUAGUAUCGAUACAAUAGAUUAUUCACCUUGCAAAUCGAUUUUAGAUCGAUAUACGUCCCCCGUGAAGGACAACUUGCCGAGUACCUAUAGAUGUAGUUGGAUCGUAGGAAUAUAAAUCAAUAUCGAUGUAAUAGAUGA